CAAAUCAAAACUGAGCAGAUCGGUUUUCCCCGGUCGGGUCACAGAUGUGACAGUGGUUUACCACGGGACAGUC
rnacentral:ncRNA from 1 species